rnacentral:rRNA from 1 species
GAUGAACGCUAGCUACAGGCUUAACACAUGCAAGUCGAGGGGAAACGGCAUUAAGUGCUUGCACUUUUUGGACGUCGACCGGCGCACGGGUGAGUAACGCGUAUCCAACCUUCCCAUGACUAAGGGAUAACCUGCCGAAAGGCAGACUAAUACCUUAUGGUCUUCACUGACGGCAUCAGAUGUGAAGUAAAGAUUUAUCGGUUAUGGAUGGGGAUGCGUCUGAUUAGUUAGUUGGCGGGGUAACGGCCCACCAAGGCAACGAUCAGUAGGGGUUCUGAGAGGAAGGUCCCCCACAUUGGAACUGAGACACAGUCCAAACUCCUACGGGAGGCAGCAGUGAGGAAUAUUGGUCAAUGGGCGAGAGCCUGAACCAGCCAAGUAGCGUGCAGGACGACGGCCCUAUGGGUUGUAAACUGCUUUUGUAUGGGGAUAAAGUCAAUCACGUGUGAUUGUUUGCAGGUACCAUACGAAUAAGGACCGGCUAAUUCCGUGCCAGCAGCCGCGGUAAUACGGAAGGUCCGGGCGUUAUCCGGAUUUAUUGGGUUUAAAGGGAGCGUAGGCUGGAGAUUAAGUGUGUUGUGAAAUGUAGACGCUCAACGUCUGACUUGCAGCGCAUACUGGUUUCCUUGAGUACGCACAACGUUGGCGGAAUUCGUCGUGUAGCGGUGAAAUGCUUAGAUAUGACGAAGAACUCCGAUUGCGAAGGCAGCUGACGGGAGCGCAACUGACGCUGAAGCUCGAAGGUGCGGGUAUCGAACAGG